UAGAAUUUGGUGUAAUUGGGAGCACGGAGAGUUUUGGAUUCUUAAGAGUAGGUUCGAUUCCUAUAGUUCUAG
rnacentral:tRNA from 1 species